rnacentral:rRNA from 1 species
CUACGGGCGGCACCAGUCGAGGAUCUUCUGCAAUGUAUGAAAGUAUGACAGAGCAAGCCAGAGUGUUUCUCAAAUUGAGAAACUUUUGCCAAAUCUAAAAAUUUUGGCGAAUAAGGACUGGGCAAGACUGGUGCCAGCCGCCGCGGUAAUACCAGCGGUCCAAGUCGCAGCCACAUCUAUUGGGUCUAAAACAUUCGUAGCUCGCUUUAUAAGUCUUUUGUGAAAUUCUGUAUCUCAAGUACAGAGCGAGCAAAAGAUACUAUAUUGCUAGAGACCGGAGGACGUAAGGAGUACAAUUGGGGUAAUGGUAAAAUAUUUUAAUCCCAAUUGGACUAACAACAGCGAAGGCACCUUACGACGACGGAUCUGACAGUGAGGGAUGAAGGCUAGGGGCGCAAAACGGAUUAGAUACCCUUGUAGUC